rnacentral:lncRNA from 1 species
UUGUAAACAACAGCAAGUGCCAUUUAUUUAUGACAUAUUAAAAGCUUUGCACACAUUAUUUCAUUUAGUUCUUCCAACAAUCAUAUCAAGUAGGUACAGUUAUCUUCCUUAUUUUAUUGAUGAAAAAAGAGUCUCAGAAGGUUAAGCAGCUUGACCAGGCACACACAGCUUCUAAGUGAGGGAUCAGAAGUCACAUCUCUCUGACUCCAAAGCAGGCAAAUUUUCAUCUUGGCAUUGAAGCAGUUUUACAGACCUAUGUUGACUUUUUUUUUUUCACCAAUUGACCAGGGAACUUCUAACUACUCAGCAUUAAACUUCCUAAAUUAUUCCAUUCCUGCUCUGUCAGACUACGGGCUCAAAGCUUUAGUUCUGGAAUCCAGUUUUCUGCCCCAGGCUCCCUGGGCCUAUGGGUCGAGAGAAGCCACCUCUUCUCUAGUCCAAAAGAGUUCCCUGACUUUGGAGUCCAGUUCUGUUUGGGUAAAACACUCUGCUGAAGAAGGGUCUAUAAGAGAUUUUACUAUGGCUAUCUUUUUGGACAUAUUAAGGGGCAAGUUCUCUAAUGACUCAUAAAGGCCAUUAACAUGGGUUUUGCAGUGAGUACUAAGACCUUCCCAUAUGAGUAUAACUGAAACCCUACACAAAUAAUGUGAUGUUUAAUUGCAUGUGCAAAUAAAAUUAUGCAAAACUCUCUAAGAGUAUAAAGUUCAAAAGACUGUAUUUUAUAAAGAAUUUUUAAUGAUAUAGGAACAUCCUUAAGCAAGUAUGUUAAGGAAAAAACAGCAGGGUGUGAAACUGUACAUAGUGUAUCAUCAUCAUUAUGUAAAUUAUCUAAAAUCGAGAGGUGGGAGCAGGGGAAGUACUUGCAGAUAAAUACACAAAAGUGCUAACAAUGGUUGCUGAUAGAUGGUGUUAUGGAGACUUUUAAUUUUCCUUUUUUAUACAUUGUGAAAUUUUCCAAAUUCUCCUUGGUGAAAAUAUUUGUCUUUGGCCUAGGGGAAAAUAAACAUUUAUGAACAACAAUGUGUUAGGUUAUAAUAUUCAAAUUUACAUAGAAGUCUAAUAUUGUAGAUUUGAUAGCAAACUUCGUGAAAGGAGAAUAAAGUUUUCAGGUUUUGCUUCUGUAUCUAUUCACCCCAUUAGACAACAUUUUGUUGACAUAAUAUUUUCUGUUUGUUCCUUUCCUUCAGAGCUGAUGCAGUUAGAGUAUUUGUGUUAAACAAGCCUACCUGAGGCCAAUUACAGCUCUCCUUCCAGCCCUGGAAGACAGGAGAAGAGAAGCAUCUCAUUUCUCUCUCAGCCCAUCUGAUACAUAUAUUCAGGCUGGGCGCAGAUGACAUCUGUCCAGACAACGCAUAAUAUUGCAAUCACUUCUGAUUAGUUUCCUAUUACCAGCACGCUGUUCACCUGUGUUACAGGAGUGGCUACUGGGGUGUGCUGGAAGGAGGGAAGAGGAGGAGAUGAAGGCAGUUAUUGUAAUUUGAGAAUCUGUGCUAUCGUUACCAAAGCCUUUUCUUCAGAAUCCAGAUCCACACAUCCUCCUUUCCUCACAUACAGACAUUCUGGGUGCAGGAUAUGCUAGGCAACCAGUCAAAUUUCCUACAUUUCAGUGGGAUGGACGGUUUGUCUUAAUUUACAUUUCUCCAGGACCUUAGGACC